UAUUAAAAAUUUCAUCCAUUUGUACUGUUAAAAAGCGGCAUGAUUAAUGGAAUAACUGAACAGAGACAUGUGACAUGUCACGUGUAUCUCGUACUGACGUACAUGAACCAAUUUUUAAUAGGAAAAAUGAAUAAUUUUUUUUGAA
rfam:Gossypium raimondii Chr09_contig_1471, whole genome shotgun sequence.